rnacentral:rRNA from 1 species
UCACUACCCAGUUCUGCAUCAUUUCCUAAAAUGAUGAUCUCAUUAUUAACUAUUCUCACAAAACCGCUCCACAGAACCGUUGUUAACCAUUGGUCGUUGAGGAGGCGUAUUCUCAAAGGACCCAUAUCUACUGCUGUAUUAAUGGGGGCGUGGUUUGGUAAUACGCCAAUUUGGCCACUAUUAGUGGAUAUGAUUUCUUUCACUUCACAAUCCCAAAUAAUUCGCUUAGGAGUCAGUACAUAA